UACUGAGUUUACGCUCUAUAACCCUUUGUGAACAUACCUAUAACUGUUGCUUCGGCGGGUAGGGUCUCCGUGACCCUCCCGGCCUCCCGCCCCCGGGCGGGUCGGCGCCCGCCGGAGGAUAACCAAACUCUGAUUUAACGACGUUUCUUCUGAGUGGUACAAGCAAAUAAUCAAAACUUUUAACAACGGAUCUCUUGGUUCUGGCAUCGAUGAAGAACGCAGCGAAAUGCGAUAAGUAAUGUGAAUUGCAGAAUUCAGUGAAUCAUCGAAUCUUUGAACGCACAUUGCGCCCGCCAGCAUUCUGGCGGGCAUGCCUGUUCGAGCGUCAUUUCAACCCUCAAGCUCUGCUUGGUGUUGGGGCCCUACAGCUGAUGUAGGCCCUCAAAGGUAGUGGCGGACCCUCCCGGAGCCUCCUUUGCGUAGUAACUUUACGUCUCGCACUGGGAUCCGGAGGGACUCUUGCCGUAAAACCCCCAAUUUUCCAAAGGUUGACCUCGGAUCAGGUAGGAAUACCCGCUGAACUUAAGCAUAUCAAUAAGCGGAGGAAAAGAAA
rnacentral:rRNA from 1 species